GUGCAUGUCUCAAUACCAAAUUGGCCCAACUGUCAGAACAUGACAGAGAAUUUUGUCGUUUUGUAUUGGCGGCGCUAAAACCGGCUAGAUAACGAAAAAUUCAAAUCUUACAAGUAUAUUUAUUAGUGGUGAUGACCAUGGCUACGUUCCGUUUCACGCAUAAUGCGCAUGGCCAUCAUUUUAUCCUUGUAAUUUCCCAAAUGUUAAACAAGGACAAAAUGAUACAUCAUGCGCAUCAUGCGUGAAACGGAACGUAGCCCAUGAUGUAAGACUCACAAAUCGUCGUAAAUUCCAGCGGGAAAGAUUCUGGAAUUUCUUUCUUAAUUUUACCUGGUGUUGCCUGGUAAUCAUGAGUUCGGCCAGGCGGAGAUCGUCUAGUAAUCCCGUAAGGAGGUAUGGUAUCCAACGGGAAACCAGCUUAACUCGGAACGAUCAACGGGUACAACCUGGCCUGAAACCGAAGGAAAUUUCAACGUGCGGUGAAACCUCGCACGUUUCUAGGCCACGUUUUCGAAGCUCGUCCAGUGACAGAACGAGAGCACUCUGCAAAAAGUCGUACUUGAAAGUGCCAGGUAUGACUCCAAUAUGUCAACCAACAACUACAAUUACUCCAGUGAGACUUUCCCCUAAGCUUCAAGAAAACAUAGUACUUACAAAUCCAUGCAGACUCAAAGUACCAUUACGAAUGGAUUGAUCACUAUCUGGUGAACGUAGCAGGGCUUGGAAUGAAGAUAAAGUUGACAAAGAAGAAAAAUUAUUAAACCAAUAUUUGCAAGAUAUUUUGGGUAUCCAACAGGGUAUCACUGAUGACGAUACAACUCAAGCACAUAAAGAAUUGGAAGAAGUAAAUAUGAGGUUACAAGUGCUUGUAACUUUAUUUUUACUUCUUCCAAUUCUGUAUGUGCUUGAGUUGUAUCGUCAUCAGUGAUACCCUGUUGGAUACCCAAAAUAUCUUGCAAAUAUUGGUUUAAUAAUUUUUCUUCUUUGUUAACUUUAUCUUCAUUCCAAGCCCUGUAACAUUCCAACAGGGCUUGAAAUUCCAUCCUGGAAGUUUGAGCCUACUGUUCCAUUCCUACGAAUGGCAAGUUUUCCAAUUCGAAUUUAUUAAAAAAUUGAAUGUCUGCAUCAUAAAUUAACAUCUUUGCGCACUAAGGAAUCUAAAGGAUUAGAAUUAUUUAAUAAUAUGGAGGCUUAUUUAAACCAACUUUCGAUGGAGAAGAAGCAAUUAAAUGUACAGUGCCAAGUUUUAAAGAAGCAAAUUCAGAUAGGAAAUAUACAAUGUGAAGAAUUAAUCUCUAUUGCGAAAAAUCAACAAAUAUCUAAGUUAGAAGAAGAUAUUUUCAUCAAAUGCAUUGAAAUUCAGAAUUGUAUUCAUCAAUUUAACGAAUAUUUAAGAGAUUUAUAAAAAAAAUUCAAUUUAGAUAUAUAA